CAGCCGCCGCGGUAACACGUAGGUGGCAAGCGUUGUCCGGAAUUAUUGGGCGUAAAGGGCUCGCAGGCGGUUUCUUAAGUCUGAUGUGAAAGCCCCCGGCUCAACCGGGGAGGGUCAUUGGAAGCUGGGAAACUUGAGUGCAGAAGAGGAGAGUGGAAUUCCACGUGUAGCGGUGAAAUGCGUAGAGAUGUGGAGGAACACCAGUGGCGAAGGCGACUCUCUGGUCUGUAACUGACGCUGAGGAGCGAAAGCGUGGGGAGCGAACAGGAUUAGAUACCCCCGUAGUCCCUGUCUCUUAUAC
rnacentral:rRNA from 1 species